AUUGAACGCUGGCGGCAGGCUUAACACAUGCAAGUCGAGCGAGAGGCGGACGGGUGAGUAAUGUAUGGGAAAAUGCCUGAUGGAGGGGGAUAACUACUGGAAACGGUAGCUAAUACCGCAUACCCUCAGAUGUGCCCAGAUGGGAUUAGCUAGUAGGUGGGGUAAUGGCUCACCUAGGCGACGAUCCCUAGCUGGUCUGAGAGGAUGACCAGCCACACUGGAACUGAGACACGGUCCAGACUCCUACGGGAGGCAGCAGUGGGGAAGAUUGCACUAUGGGCGCAAGCCUGAUGGAGCCAGGCCGCGUGUGUGAAGAAGGCCUGCGGGUGGUAAAGCACUUUCAGCGAGGAGGCGUUACUCGCAGAAGAAGCAACGGCUAACUCCGUGCCAGCAGCCGCGGUAAUUC
rnacentral:rRNA from 1 species